rnacentral:rRNA from 1 species
UACGAAGGGGGCUAGCGUUACUCGGAUUGACUGGGCGUAAAGGGUGCGUAGGCGGGUCUUUAAGUCAGGGGUGAAAUCCUGGAGCUCAACUCCAGAACUGCCUUUGAUACUGAGGAUCUUGAGUUCGGGAGAGGUGAGUGGAACUGCGAGUGUAGAGGUGUAAUUCGUAGAUAUUCGCAAGAACACCAGUGGCGAAGGCGGCUCACUGGCCCGAUACUGACGCUGAGGCACGAAAGCCAGGGGAGCAAACGGG